UGCUUUACACAUGCAAGUCGAACGGAUUAAAGAGCUUGCUCUUUAGUUAGUGGCGAACGGGUGAGUAAUAUAUCGGAACAUAUCCGGAAGUGGGGGAUAACGUAGCGAAAGCUACGCUAAUACCGCAUACGAUCUAUGGAUGAAAGCGGGGGAUCGCAAGACCUCGCGCGAUUGGAGCGGCCGAUAUCAGAUUAGGUAGUUGGUGAGGUAAAGGCUCACCAAGCCGACGAUCCCUAGCUGGUCUGAGAGGACGACCAGCCACACUGGGACUGAGACACGGCCCAGACUCCUACGGGAGGCAGCAGUGGGGAAUUUUGGACAAUGGGCGCAAGCCUGAUCCAGCAAUGCCGCGUGCAGGAUGAAGGCCUUCGGGUUGUAAACUAC
rnacentral:rRNA from 1 species